UAAAGACUAUGCAGAAAGCUUUAGGCCACUCUACAUAUCAGAUCAGUUUUAUAUUGCAUCCCUUAUGGUGCAUCUCUUACUUGAGUAGGCAUAAUAACAAUUGGCAAUGCUUCCUUACACAUUUAAUAUUUUUCUCUUUUUCUUUUGGAAGAGUAGCCUUCGAAGAAUAAUCUACAACAGUGCUCCUACCUUCUCUUUCACUGUCUCCCCAUUUCUUUUCUACACUUCAACUUCAUUCUACGCACUUUCUUAUUCUCCUCUUCAUCCUACAUUGAGGGUGUGGGAAAGUGAGCUAAGCGUGCAUAAAGAUUGCUGUGCCGAACUUAAUUGCGGCACUGACGAAAACAAAUCUUUGUCAAAAGGUUCACUCCAGCUACAUUCCCCCUCCAAACACUGUUUAUCACUUCAAGCCUUCAUAUUCCUGUGAGCUUUUGUCUUGUUUAACAGUUGUAACAGCCAUACUAUUUAUUACUAUCAGUAGCCAGCAUACAUUUUGCACUGCAAAGGGCUGUUUAGAAGAUGUGCAAGUUUCUACUUCCCUUAUGAUAAAUACUCCAGACAUUCAGUCUCUAUUUUAUGAAAAUCUUUCAAACAUUGCCAGUGAUGACCACCAUAUAGGUUAAUGUCGGCAUGGGAUUGAGGCUUUCCCGCAAAAAGAACAGUUAUGUUGUGCUCAUAUCAUGUGACUGGCAGUUUCUGCUGUAAUUUUUGCACUUGUCAACUGCACUGUGAAGAGUUCAUUUCUGUGAAUAUGUGCUGGCCUGAUUCUUCUUGUUCACGCAUUUCAGAUCUUGUGCUAUGAGAUGAGGAGGUGUAAAAUAAAAACACCGUGUAGAUUUCACAAUGCUUUAAGAAACCACGCGAAGCUUGGAGAUGAAGCAUUACAUGCACCUUGAACCAAGUGUCUGGACACAGCGAGUGAAAGUUGUUUUGUCAUGAGCGAGGGUGUCGGUGUUACUUGUAAAUACCUUUAAAUAAAGGUUUGUUUCAAAACAGUGGCUCAACUCUGUGUUUCCCCCGGUAAAAAACACAACCAUUGGGAUUUUCAUGAGCGAGGGUGUCGGUGUUACUUGUAACUACCUUUAAAUAAAAGUUUGUUUCAAAACAGUGGCCCAACUCUGUGUUCCCCUGGUAAAAAACAAAACCAUUGGGAUUUACAAUUCGCUUUUUAAACAUAAUUGAACAACAUGAAUAAAAAAAACUUGAUGAAUCAAGAUAUAAGCUUGCCAUACCAUGGAAACACUUGAAACUCCUUUUGAGAAGCUUACUCAUACACGAACACACUAUAGCAAUUAUUUUCAAUCGUAUACCCACAAUUUGCCGUGUCACCACGUCAAGUUUCAAGGCAGAUUUUUUUUAGACUCCAGGAAGCUAUAUGCCUAAUUCUAUCCAUUGUUUACUGCAUUGCAUUUGAUUUUCUAUAACAAAUAAAAUUGAAUUCUCCAUUGAUUGCGCCGACGCUCACAUUAUAAUUAUAUGCUAUUAUUAUUGACUAGUCAUAUAUUUUCUUGGCGGGUGGGGGCUGCACUGGUGGCGUUCUACGAAUUUGCGCCGCGUGUUUGUGCGGGUAAGCUUAAGUGCAGAAUUUUUUUUUGCGCGUUAUGAAAACAAUGCACUGCAGGUAUUUUAAUUAAUGCAACGAGCUGUAUGAAAUAUCGGUCAAGGGGUUGGAAACGUCGUUAUAGAGAAUCCCGACGAUUUUUCUUUUGCGUGUGUGUAUUUGGAGUUGAUUCACAGUUUUAUUUGUUUAUUUUGGCUACAUUGCGCCAAUUGCGCUUCCAUAGAAUAAAGAAACGCGCUUCCACGCGCUUGCCGACUCGAUCGCAAGGGGACAGCCUGAUCAACAUCAAUAUCAGCAGCAAUGGCGGAUUUGCGCUUGCCAUGGCGCUUGCAAAGUUUUCAAUAGUUUUCGACUAUUAAGUGAUGCUUUUGCUAUUUUAACGUGUGGAGGUUCAUUGUACGUCUGUUUUUCAAGUUUGGCAUGUGUCUUAACACAUGUGAAGGUGUAGUCUUUUCUUCUUCAGCGGAUAUUUGUACAAGACCCCGUUCACCGUCUAUCAGCUCUAGCUCGGCAAGAAUAAAGCGGUUCCUUAGAAGUGGUGGAGGUGCUGGGGUUCUGCAUACCAAGGACGUAUAAGUGAAGGUGACUUAAACCGACAACAGCCGAGAAGGUGCAAACAGCACUGCGCUGCCUGGUUCUUGCUGCUGGCCUUUUCUUCUUUUCACAGUGUCCUUACUGUAAGUGCACUCCAGAGUUACAAUGCAGGAAUAUGCAUGUGUGCAUAAGCUUUCAUUCAAGAGUAACUCAUGAUCAUAAGUUACGUCAUCAUGGUUUCGUACCAUGUCACGGCAUCAUAAGUGAGACAUAAUAAAGAAGCCCUCAAAGUCUGCGGGAGAGACUAAUCUUUUGUGCGAGAUUGUGCUAUCCUUGCUGCACGCAGUGCAAUAUUAUAUGACUCUCAUGUCUAUGGUGGCAUUGUCGAUUAUGAAUGUUUCCUUACUGCGUUAAAAAAAUGUGAGUGCAUCUUUCAGAUAAUAAUGGCAUUAUAGCUUCAGAGUUGUUCAAGUUUGGGGUACUUGUUCACUAAAAGUACAUUAUCAGAAAAGCUUUAGAAUGUCUAGGUCAUAAUUGCAUUUGAAGAACUAAGUCUUCCUACACAUAGCAAUUGGUAGCUUACUGUGUAAUGUUGAAGGUGGUUUUUAUUCAUAGGCCCUACGCAGAGAGCAGCAACACAAUGCCUGGCAUGUGACCAGGGUUCGUCACAGUGUUUGCAUUUCCAGUGCCCGUAACUGAUUCCAAGCAUAAAUUUGCUUUAUGAAUUCUUUGUAGACAGAAGGUGCUUGAAUAUUGGUUGCAUGAAAUGCUCCAAUGCACACUGUAUAUGUACAGGGUGUCUUUUAUUACCAUACAGAUUUUCUUGUUUUAAAGUUAUGAGCGCAGCAAAUGUGGCAUUCUUGCAGAGGAAUUCCUCUAUUUUGGAACUCCACAAAUUUGGAGGCAGUCACAUUUUAUAGCACUCUCAUUUCUUACAAAUCUUGAAAGUUGCGCCUAAUUCAAGAUAUUCAUCAUUGAAUUUCACUGGUAAAUCGAGGCAAUAUUGGAACUGAGUGUGCUGGGAGCGCAGAAAAGAAGGUCCCGCUACCGACACACUUUGCCUGGCAAGCAUGUGCAUCAGUGUGCCGUGUCAGGCUAUCAUUUAAGCUUUGUCCCACACUUCUUGACAGGGCACUGCCGCCUGAUGUGGAGCAGGAUGCACCAAGUUUUGAUUGUACUCAAUUGAGCGCGAUAAUGAAUAUUUCAAAAUAAGUGCAAUUUUCGAGAUUUCGAAAAAGGAAGGGUGUGCGUUCACAUGUGAAUGCCUCCAAAUAUGCCAUUUAGAAGGCUGCCGCCAAGUUACUAAUAAAAAAGUGACUGAAUUUUUCAAAAUUAAUUUUCUGAAACUCGCAUUAGCAGCAAAGUGUGUCCUCCUCACCUAGAAACUCCUUUGCAAGAACGACAGGCUCUCUGUGCUCAAAACUUUUUGCUAAAUAUCUGCAUGGUUAAAAAAAAAAACUAGAUAUGCGUAAUUGUUAAUGUAUGAAAAUCUUACACUAUCACUUUUCAAAAUUUUUGUCCUAUGCAACACCAGAAAAAUUGGAAAUAGAAGCUUCAGGCGACCUAUCUGAUGUGCAAGUUGCAUGGCCAUAUUAUUGUCUUAAUUUUUCGCUAUUACCUUUUACUGUGAUGUCGCCACUGCAGCAGCUCGAUGGCUGUGGCUUUUCAUUCCAGGUCACAAAGCUGCACCCAGGUAGAGGCAGAAUCCAAAAAUGCUUGUGUACUUAAGUAUAGCUGCACAUUACAGAAUCCGAGGCCCUCAAGAUUUAUCCGUAGCCCUCGUGUAGCCCACGAGUUCCAUAUUUUUUAUUGGGAUUGAAGAGUAACGUUUGUGCUGUAUCCUUCUAUUUCAGACUAAAUAAUGUGCAUGCAAAAUUAUAUCUUCAUUACUUUACACCAUUGCACCAAUAUCUGUUGUGCGUUGAUUUUCUGAUGUCCUUGCAUUUGCUAUAGCAAGGAUUUUUAAAAAUCAGCCACAAAAGAAAAAAUAAAUGGUCAAGGAACGAAGCGGUGUGUAGCAGCUCCUUUUUUUUAAUCGGCAGCAAGUUUUGCACUCGUGUGUUAGCAACACUGUUUCGCCAGUUGUGUACUUCAAAAGAAGUGUUACCUUUCUGCUUUGGAACUUUGUGGUUUUGUUCUGCCAGCUGCUUGACCAACACAAGCAAAAUGUACUUUGGAUAUUCCACAAAUUCAUUCUGUAUGCAUUUGGUACAAUAAAAUUUGUUUCAAGAAUGGACAAA